UGCAAAUCAAUUUAAAUUGAUAUUAUAAUUUAUUUAUUAAUAAGUUUUUAUUAUAAUUUUAAUUUUAUUAAAAAUAAUUAUAUAAUUUAUUUGUUUUAGUAAUUUUUAAUGAAAAAAUAAUUUUUAUAAUAGUUUAUUUGUAUUGUGAAAGAUAGUUGAAAUAUUUUGAAAAAUUUUUAUAAAAAAAGAAAAAUUUUUUUUUUUGUACCUUGUGUAUCAGGGUUUAUUAAAUAAUUAAUAAUAAUUUUAUUAUUUUCGAUUUUAUAAGAGUUAAUAAUUUACUAAAUUUAGUGUAUUAAAAUUAUUUUUAAUAAGUUAUUAGAAAUGAAAUGUUAUUCGUUUAUAAAGGUAUCUAGUUUUUUUAGAAAUAAAUUUAAUUUAUAAAUUUUUAAUUUUUUUAUUUUUUAUAAAAUAAAAAAAAUUAUAAAUUUAGAUAUUUUAAGGGAUAAGCUUUAAAAUAAAUUAUUAUAAUUUACUAAAUUAUUAUUUUAAAUGUAUGCUUAGAAUUAGCAAUUAUUUAUAAUAUUGUUAUAAAUUAUUUUAUUAAUAUAAUAUUUAAUUAAUUUUAAUAUUUUUAUAAAAAUUUUUUUUUUAAUUUUUAUUAAAAAGUAUUAAUGAUAAAAUUAGUAUAUUAUUUAUAUGUAAUAAAUAAAUUUAUUUGAUAAGUUUAUAUAAAGAACUCGGCAAAUAUUAUACUCGCCUGUUUAACAAAAACAUGUCUUUUUGAGUUAUUUUUAAAGUCUAACCUGCCCAAUGAAAAAUUUUUAAUGGCCGCAGUAUUCUAACUGUGCAAAGGUAGCAUAAUCAUUAGUCUUUUAAUUGAAGGCUUGUAUGAAUGGUUGGACGAAGUAUAAACUGUUUCAUUUAAAUUUAUAAUAGAAUUUUAUUUUUUAGUAAAAAAGCUAAAAUAUAAUUAAAAGACGAGAAGACCCUAUAAAUCUUUAUAUUAUAACUUAUUAUUUUUUUUUUGAUUUUUUAAAAUUUAAUAAUUUAUAAUAUUUUGUUGGGGUGAUAUUAAAAUUUAAAAAACUUUUAAUUUAAUUUUUACAUUAAUUUAUGAUUUAUUGAUCCUUUAAUAAUGAUUAUAAGAAUAAGUUACUUUAGGGAUAACAGCGUAAUUUUUUUGGAGAGUUCUUAUCGAUAAAAAAGUUUGCGACCUCGAUGUUGGAUUAAGAGAUAUUUUUAGGUGUAGUUGCUUAAAUAUAAAGUCUGUUCGACUUU
rnacentral:rRNA from 1 species